rnacentral:rRNA from 1 species
CCUACGGGAGGCUGCAGUGAGGAAUAUUGGUCAAUGGACGAGAGCCUGAACCAGCCAAGUCGCGUGAAGGAUGACUGUCCUAUGGGUUGUAAACUUCUUUUAUAUGGGAAUAAAAUGCGGCACGUGUGGGAUUUUGUAUGUACCAUAUGAAUAAGGCUCGGCUAACUCCGUGCCAGCAGCCGCGGUAAUACGGAGGAUCCGAGCGUUAUCCGGAUUUAUUGGGUUUAAAGGGAGCGUAGGUGGAUUGUUAAGUCAGUUGUGAAAGUUUGCGGCUCAACCGUAAAAUUGCAGUUGAAACUGGCAGUCUUGAGUACAGUAGAGGUAGGUGGAAUUCGUGGUGUAGCGGUGAAAUGCUUAGAUAUCACGAAGAACUCCGAUGGCGAAGGCAGCUCACUGGACUGUAACUGACAUUGAUGCUCGAAAGUGUGGGGAUCAAACAGGAUUAGAUACCCGUGUAGUC